rnacentral:lncRNA from 1 species
CGUCUAACUUGGGGAAUACAUUUUUCAUGUUGGUUGUUUGCAGCAGCAGCAGUGGAGCAGACAGCAUUGGAGGGAAGUUGCUUUCUAUAAACCCCUCACCUCAGUGACCAGCUACAGAGGAGAUGGGUUCCCAGCCCAGAUAAAUGGCGGCACCGGUGUCACCACUCGCAGCAGAGCUUGCAUCCCUUCGGCCCCGCCUCCUGAGAACGGGUCCCUUUCAGCCGGUCCCCAGGCCUCGAGACCCGAGAGCCGGAUGGAGACACCUCCCCGACACCCAGGGCACCGAGCGGUCCAGCAGGAAUAAGCCAACGGUUGCUGCCUGGUAUUUGAACAUCAUUUAAUGAGGGCCCAGAAUUCAUCUGUAAAUGUGCUUUGUUAAUUUAGGGCCUGCUCUUCAUUAAUUAGGGCUUUAGUGGCAAGUGCCACUGCGCUAUCUGCAAUGUUUAAGGGUGCGUCAAGCCUUAGUAAACGGCUUGCUGAUAACAAGCCGCAUCCAUCUUCGUUACUCAGCCACUCCUGUCUGACUUUGCUCAGCAUCUUCGAAGCGCCAGGCCUCUUGGAACUGAAGAAUUAAACUUUUAUCCAAACCAGAUUCUGCUCUUUCACCCCUCUGAUUCCUUGAGUACUUCCCAUUUAUUUUGCCUAAAUGACAUCUGAUUACCUAACAUGGAGUGGAGCGAGGUCUUAACCUAAAACAGCCUGCAGACCUCAGUUCUCAGCCGGAGAAUUCCGGGGGGUUAGCGCCCAGGAAAUCCUUACACUUCCAUUUCAUCCGAUCCUGGGCUCAGCGUAAGAGAAACAGUUUCUGACUUUUCUUCUCAUAAGGUUGCAGUUCCAAUAGAUUUUUUUUCUUUUAAAGCCGGAGAAAUACAGGAAAUUAAUUUUAAACCUGGAGAAUAAAUGUCCCAAUUGGUUCGAGUUUACUUUUGCUGUUUCUCUCUCUGAAAACAUGUAUCAUUUGAGGCAAUCACGGUGCCAAAUGAAAGAAUUCCAACCGUCUAGAGAGUCCUCCACGUCGAACCUCAGCUGUGCAAACGCCGUCGUGUCGGUGGCCAGAGGGGCUCGGAACCCCCCUCCCCUUUCGAGGCCCACAGCUCAAGCAGGCAGCAGGGCAGGCGUUUAGGCAGAUACUGCUCUUAAGAAAAGGUCUCAGUAACACGUUUGUUUAUCCUUUAAGCACUAGGUUAGAGGAUUGCGUGAAAACUAACCUCCACUGACAGAGGGUCUCCGUAAGUCGUGAUCCUGAGAAACGAGAGAGCUACUUGUUUGGCUGUUUCACACAUUAGGGGGUUCGCGGGGGAGCGCCUACUGCUCCCCUGAACCACAGUUCAAUUUUAAGCAUCGCUGGCCGGAUGGGUUAUUUUAACGAUGUCAGGAAGUGAGCUGGAGAGCCGGGUGCUCAGGGCGGGCGAGGGCGAGGGCGAGGGGAGCAGGAGAGUGAUAGCCCGAGGGAGGGUGUCUGCAAACCCCUGCACCGCUGAGCUGGUGCACUUAUCACAGGGCGCCAGUCUAUACGGCGGGCGGGCCUGCGGUGCAUGGCUGCUUGUGGUGCAUGCUGCCAAUUGACUUAGAAAAUGCAGAUGCCCUUCUCAGAUAGAGAGAGC